rnacentral:lncRNA from 1 species
AACCCUGGGGAAAACAAAUCAUUGUCAUUCCUUGCAAAGGAAAGAGAAAAGGAAGAUGAGGAAACGUGGGGUCUCAGAGCUGCCUUGAAUACCUCUAGUUUCAGCACAUACUCUUAUUAUCUCCCCACAAGUUUGGAAAUAGAUUUUGUGAUUGCACCUGACAAACACGGAGAUGAGGAUGCAGAAGAGAAAGUUGAGCACCUGUCAAGGUUACACAGGCGUGAGUGCCAGGUGGGUUCUCCUGGCAUCCAACACAGCUUCGGAGAAGCACAAGCAGGAAGCAAGGGACCCGUGAUGCAGGCCUGCAGCGAAGCCCUGGCCAGCCUGCCUCUCCACGGAGUUGGUUGAAGUCUGCAGAGAACUGGGCACCGCAGCUGUGCGUGGCACGAGAGGACAGUCUGAGAAGACCUGAAGUGAUGUACAAGAGGUGUUCAAUACAUGGUGCGUGUCACACUGUAAGAGCUCAAUAAAUAUUUGUUCACUGAAAAGACCCCAGGUGACUGGAUCACAGAACUGAAGAGUUGGAGGAGGCCGUGGAAAUCAGCUCAUCCAGCCUCCCACCUGGUGUAGGUUUUCCUUCUGAAGGAGCCAGGCAGAUGCUUCCCGAAAAGGGGAGCUCACCCACUGCUUGUAGAGAGUCCUUUUUGUGUGUAGGGACUUCUACCUCUGGGAUGUUUCCCUCACGUGGACAGAAAUCUAUCUCCCUGGACAUUCUACCAUCAGUUCCAGUUCAGCCCCCAACAACAUAAUACAGCCACUUCCUUUGCCAAAUAGCACCUGGAAAUGAGGUUUGCACGUGAAGGCAGCAUUUAAACAGGAAGCUGAGAGUCUUUAGUUCAGUGUCCUCCAACUUAAGUCUGGGUUGGCCAGCAUGGCCUGAGACUGGGUUUAACGCUACCCUACUUCACCCCACCCCAGGCACAGGUUCCCACAACCUGAGCAGCGCCUGUCCUGUUAGGGAGGGAGGCGAUUCACAUCCAACUGGGAGGAGCGGCCUUAUACGCUUAGAAAAGCAACUCUGUCAAAAUUGACACCUUCUGUCAUCCUCCCAUGUCGAGCACCCUGUCCUAGGAUCGUCACCCCUGAGCAUCCUUCCUGAGUGG